rnacentral:misc_RNA from 1 species
ACCGACGAGGGCGACUACCAGAUCAAGAUGCGCAACAUCCGCCGCUUCCUGGAAGAGGGCGACAAGGUCAAGGUCAACAUCCGCUUCCGUGGCCGCGAAAUGAGCCACCAGGAGCUGGGUCGCGAGAUGGCUGCGCGCAUCGAGGCCGAGCUGGGCGACGAGAUCGUCAUCGAGUCGCGUCCGCGCCUGGAAGGCCGCCAGAUGGUCAUGAUGAUCGCGCCGAAGAAGAAGUGAUCCCGGCCGCCUUUGGCGCAGGAUCCGCGGGAGGGCGCCGAGAGGCGCCCUUGCUGUUUCCGGCAACCGCCAUCAGCGGGCUA